GGCCUCGUCGUCUAGUGGUCUAGGAUAUCGGGUUUUCAUCCCGAAGAUCGCGGGUUCGAAUCCCGCCGAGGUCA
rnacentral:tRNA from 1 species